AUUGAACGCUGGCGGCAGGCCUAACACAUGCAAGUCGAGCGAGCGGCGGACGGGUGUGUAAUGUAUGGGGACUGCCCCAUAGAGGGGGAUAACUACUGUCAACGGUAGCUAAUACCGCAUACUAUCGGAUAACCCAUAUGGGAUUAGCUAGUAGGUGAGGUAAGGGCUCACCAAGGCGACGAUCCCUAGCUGGUCUGAGAGGAUGAUCAGCCACACGGGAAGUGAGACACGGCCCAGACUCCUACGGAGGCAGCAGUGGGGAAUAUUGCACAAUGGGCGCAAGCCUGAUGCAGCCAUGCCGCGUGUAUGAAGAAGGCCCUAGGGUUGUAAAGUACUUUCAGUCGGGAGGCGUUACCGACAGAAGAAGCACCGGCUAACUCCGUGCCAGCAGCCGCGGUAAUAC
rnacentral:rRNA from 1 species